UCUGGUUGAUCCUGCCAGUAGUCAUAUGCUUGUCUCAAAGAUUAAGCCAUGCAUGUCUAAGUAUAAAUAGUAUACAGUGAAACUGCGAAUGGCUCAUUAAAACAGUUAUAGUUUAUUUGAUAAUUGACAAUUACAUGGAUAACCGUGGUAAUUCUAGAGCUAAUACAUGCUUAAACGCCCGACCUUAUGGAAGGGUGGUAUUUAUUAGACUGAAGCCAAUAUUCCUUGUGUCUAUUGCGGUGAUUCAUAAUAACUGAUCGAAUCUCUUUUUGAGAUAAAUCAUUCAAGUUUCUGCCCUAUCAGCUUUCGAUGGUAGUGUAUUGGACUACCAUGGCAGUAACGGGUAACGAAGAAUUAGGGUUCGAUUUCGGAGAGGGAGCAUGAGAAACGGCUACCACAUCUAAGGAAGGCAGCAGGCGCGUAAAUUACCCAAUCCUGACUCAGGGAGGUAGUGACAAGAAAUAGCAAACCGGGAACCUCAUGGUUUCACGGUAUUGCAAUGAGAACAAUUUAAAACCCUUAGCGAGAAUCAAGUGGAGGACAAGUCUGGUGCCAGCACCCGCGGUAAUUCCAGCUCCACUAGCGUAUAUUAAAGUUGUUGCAGUUAAAAAGCUCGUAGUUGAACCUCUGUCUGGGGCUAGUUUUGGCUUUGGUCAGGCUAGUUCUAGGCAUCCGCCUACAAGACUUAGAGGGCAUUCAGUUGUUCACUAGGAAGAGUAGGCAUUUUACUUUGAAAAAAUUAGAGUGUUUAAGGCAGGCAAUCGCCCGCAUAUAUUAGCAUGGAAUAAUAGAAUAGGACACUUUUCCAUUUCGUUGGUUAUUGGAAUCGUGUAAUGAUUAAUAGGGACAGUUGUGGGCAUUUGUAUUUAAUUGUCAGAGGUGAAAUUCUUGGAUUUAUUAAAGACAAACUAACGCGAAAGCAUUUGCCAAGGAUGUUUUCAUUAAUCAAGAACGAAAGUUAGGGGAUCAAAGACGAUCAGAUACCGUCCUAGUCUUAACUAUAAACUAUUCCGACUCAAUGUUUGACUGGCUUAUAUAACCAGUUGAGCGUUGUAUGAGAAAUCAAAGUCUUUAGGUUCUGGGGGGAGUAUGGUUGCAAAGCUGAAACUUAAAGGAAUUGACGGAAGAGCACAACCAGGAGUGGAUUCUGCGGCUUAAUUUGACUCAACACGGGGAAACUUACCAGGUUAAAACAAUAGUGGGAUUGGCAGUUUGAGAGCGCUUUCUUGAUUGGUUGGGUGGUGGUGCAUGGCCGUUCUUAGUUGGUGGAGUGAUUUGUCUGCUUAAUUGCGUUAACGAACGAGACCUUAACCUGCUUACUAAACUGGCGAUCAUCAAUCGUUAGCUCUUCUUAGAGGGACUUUGGUUGUUUUAACU
rnacentral:rRNA from 1 species